AUUUGUUCAUGGUGUUCAGCACCAAGGACAGGCAUGUUUGACUAUUUGUCGAUGGUGUUCAGCACCAAGGACAUGAAUGUUUGGCU
rnacentral:pre_miRNA from 1 species